rnacentral:rRNA from 1 species
UUAUCGAAUUAUAAGCGAGGGUUGUUGCUGGCCUCGAAAGAGGCAUGUGCACACCCGAGCUCUUAAAUCCACAACACACCUGUGAACCCACCGUAGGCCUUCGGGCUUAUGUAUCAUAUACUCUGAAUGUGUCAUAGAAUGUUCAUGUUGCCUUAAAACGCAAUCAAAUACAACUUUCAACAACGGAUCUCUUGGCUCUCGCAUCGAUGAAGAACGCAGCGAAAUGCGAUAAGUAAUGUGAAUUGCAGAUUUUCAGUGAAUCAUCGAAUCUUUGAACGCACCUUGCGCUCCUUGGUAUUCCGAGGAGCAUGCCUGUUUGAGUGUCAUUAAAUUCUCAACCCCACCGAUUUGCUUCGGGGGGAUUGGACUUGGAGCGUGCUGGCGAAGGUCGGCUCCUCUUUAAAUGCAUCAGUGGAGAGAAACUUGCCCCAGUGUGAUAAUCCUGUUGCGCUGUGGUGGGUGAAAGUCUGCUUCCAACCGUCCCUCCGGGGACAUAUGUCAUCUUAUUUUGACCUCAAAUCAGUAGGACUACCCGCUGAACUUAAGCAUAUCAU